rnacentral:lncRNA from 1 species
GUGCCUAUACCUCCCAGGGAGGAGCUUCCCUCCUCUCACCUGCUGCACGAGCCCUAGUGCUUCACCAACUCCAGCCUCAGUGCCCUGACACUGGGGGAGGGAAAGGAAGCGCACGCACCAGCCGUUUCACCCACCGAAGGUGUUUGGUCCCAGUCUGCAAAAUCAGUUAAAUGUCUUCCUGCCUGGCAGCAGAUCAAAGGGUGAGGGGUCUGGGACAGACAGAGACGGCUAGAGAAUGGAUGGUGAAGUGCUCAGAGGCCCUGUGGGCUAUCCCACACUCGGCGGAAGACAGCAACACCAUCAAAUCUCCACCCUUUGUUAUCCAUGACUUAAAGAAAAGUGAACAGGGAGGUGGACAACUGUGCAAAGACUGGCUGGAGUCAAAUCCUGGGCAUAGGUGAAGCAUCGAGAAUGCUUGUCACACGUUUGAAUGUGCAGGGGGACUCUGACUGGAAGCUCCUAGCAGAGGCUGAAGACACUGGUUAGAUCCUGGUGCGUGCCUUGGGAUGCAUCCCAGGCAAUGGGCCCAGGAGCUUGAGGUCAUGUGCACCUGGCUCACCAGGGAGUCCUGCACCAUUCUUCAAACCUAACUGGAAGAGACACUGAUCCUUCCUCCCACCUAAGGGCUCCCAGAGCCACAGGUCUCCGUCUCUCCUGCAACACCUCCUGCUGCCUGUUCCCACCGCCCAUGAUUCACUCAGUCACCAUCCUCAGCAGCACCCGACAGCCUCUGUGUGUCUGUGUCACUCACCAUUACCAGCCCCCCGGGUGCCCAAUGCAUGUAUGUUAGACAGAACAAAUGCACGGCGGCCUUCAUCAGCACCGACCGCGUCGACCCCUCUCUGUGCUCACGCCAGGAGUGAUCAGCGCACACGCCCUCCCACAGGAUGGGAGAAGGUGAUAACACAGCUGAGCUGGGUGUCCAGAAGCCAGCCCCACCCCAGAGCCACUACUGAGAGGUUAUGAGAUCAUGGCCUUAUCCCGAGUAAUGCUGCUGCAGUGAACUGGGACUUUUUUCCUCUGAAUUCAAAGGUGGGGCAGUCUAGGCACCUGGAUGCACCAUCUGCUCUGUCCCCACCCGGUGGCUGCUCACUGUGGGAUGCUGUGCGAUUAGACAGUUACUAUCUUUCCCUGGUUGACGGAUUAGAGUUUCCCUUUUCUGAGCAUCUUGUUUUGAAGUGAUCCGAAGUGUUUAGGGUUAAAGAGCGUGAUUUUCCCAAACUGUCCAAAGAAAUAGAAGCAGGUCUGCAAGAGGGGGGUGCCCAGAGCCUUGAGAUGGAAGCGAGAUGGGGUGAUACCUGGGGAGCUCUCCAGGCCGCCGGGAAGCUGCACGUCAUCCUCUGGACCUCUUUGCUGACUGUGUGCUGUCACCACAGCAGCCGCCUUCUCUCAUCUGUAAACAGGAUUUUACGUAACUUUCCAUACACUUGGUUGUUGACAAUUAAGUAGAUUGUUUUUAAAGAUACUUGAAAUGAUAUCAGAAUUUCCUAAAUAUAUCAUUAAAACAGGAAACUUAGUUACCUACGCACUCGAAUCACUGGAGAAUACCAAAUAGGAAUAGGAAAAUAACACACCGGUAAGAAAAAUGUCCAAGGCCAAUCACAGGAGUCAAAGCUCGUGAUCAAAUCAGCUCUGCCUGGGGAGGCCGUGCUCGUGGCACCAUUUAGUGACAAGUGGGUGACUCUGGGGUGAGUUCCAGGGGAGUCACCCCCAAGGCAGCAGCUCAGGUGCAACCACCAUGGAGGCAGUUUCACUGAGGGGCCCUCUGAGGCCCCUACUCUGAGAUUCUAAGACAGGGUUUGAAGAAUGUUCCAGCAUUUGAACAAAUGAACCCUGUGAUGGUCUGCUGUGGGAGAGAACAAUGUCCCAAUUUUGCCCAGGUUACAUUAGUUAUAAUAUACACUCUGGAGGUGACUUGACUUGUCAUUGUGAACAACUAUUGCUCUUGGACGACCCAGGACAUAGGCCAGCCAGUACGUACCCCAGUGUGUUGGAGAAUCGUGCUCGGCUUCUUCCUCUGUGCUGAGUCAUGAAAGUUGCCGGAGCAGGUGCAGUUACACAACCUCCAGACAACAUCACAUGAUCGUUCAAAAAAUAAUCAUCAAGUCCAGGAUGCAGCAUCUGUCUCAGUUUUUGGCGUAGGAUGACAGUCUGAAAUACACUUACUGAAUUUGAAUAAGAACGGGCUCAGGUCAGUGAUGAUCGCUGGUGCCUUAUCAACGCCCUGUGGCUUCUCAGCAUUAGUCCCCAUAUCCUCGACCGGCGUGGCACUGAGAGCAGCUAACUGUUGCCCUCGUUGGUUCCCAGUUGGCUUCCAUGACUGG